AAGAAUGGAACAAGAAAGAUACUAAGACAAUGUUGAAGAACGAGAGGAAGAAUGGAACAAGAAAGAGACUAAGACAAUGUUCAAGAACGAGAGGAAGAGAGGCUAGCGAGAAUUAGAACAACAAACGGCGAGGAUUUUGAAUGGUUUGGCCGCCUUACAUUUUCAAAUAUAAAUGAAGAAUUUGGAGCCCAGCUAGUCAGCAACAAACUAAAAGGAAGAAGAAGACAAUCAAAUGGUCAUCAAUUCUGUUCGCUUUACUUCGGUACAGGAAUAGCCUCACUUCUGCUAUACAAGAUAGCUGCAGAUUUCCCAAAGGUGCACAAGUUCACUAAGGUUUGGAAGAUUUUCAAGCUGAUGAAGAUUUGAAAGACCUACAAUGUCCUGCGUCUUGUUUGUUGAACCUAGACAUUUGCUCUGCUCAUUUUGGUGGUGGUUUGGCUGUGUGGCACACAUCUAGAAGCAUAUGUACAUCAUUUGUGGCACUACUUUAGUUUGGUUGUGGGGUAAACAUAUAUAUGUACUCCUUUCGUGGCACAACCUCUAUAUAUAUUGUCGUUAUGUUUAUCAAAUCAAGUUUAAGGUUUUCGAUGA